GACUCUCGGCAACGGAUAUCUCGGCUCACGCAUCGAUGAAGAACGUAGCAAAAUGCGAUACUUGGUGUGAAUUGCAGAAUCCCGUGAACCAUCGAGUUUUUGAACGCAAGUUGCGCCCAAAGCCUUUCGGCCGAGGGCACGUCUGCCUGGGCGUCACAC
rnacentral:rRNA from 16 species